AUUGAACGCUGGCGGCAGGCCUAACACAUGCAAGUCGAGCGGGCGGCGGGCGGGUGAGUAAUGUAUGGGGGUCUGCCCGAUGGAGGGAGAUAACUACUGGAAACGGUGGCUCAUAACGCGUACUGUCGAAUGAACCCAGAUGGGAGUAGGUGGUAGGUAAAGUAAUGGCUUACCUAGGCGACGAUCCCUAGAUGGUCUGAGAGGAUGAUCAGCAACACUGGGACUGAGACACGGUCCAGACUCCUACGGGAGGCAGCAGUGGGGAAUAUUGCACAAUGGGCGCAAGCCUGAUGCAGCCAUGCCGCGUGUAUGAAGAAGGUCUUAGGGUUGUAAAGCACUUUAAGUCGGGAGGCGUUACCGACAGAAGAAGCACCGGCUAACUCCGUGCCAGCCGCCGCGGUAAUUC
rnacentral:rRNA from 1 species